AUCCGUGUUGCUGUAAUAUAAGGUUGUCCUAAAAUCAAUGGAUAAGACGUUGUAUCUUAAAUAAAGAAAUGUUGCUCCGUUGCAACAUCCCCAAUCCGUAUUUUGUUAUCUGGACAAGCUCCGUAUAAUUCGCCCCAUGUGUGAUUAGCCGCUCGUAUUACCCAUCCAUGUUCCAUAUCAAUUGGCCAUUUUUGCUUCUUAUAAAGAUCUUUAGAUAUAAGAUUUAUUUCAGAACCAUGGUCGAUUAAAGCAACUAUUGGUUCU
rnacentral:lncRNA from 1 species